AAAGGGAGACCUAAUUCCAGUAGGAGACGAAAAAAAAGUAGUCCCUACCAAGAAUCAAUCCCAAAAGGUCGGAGCGAGGCAAAAUUGGCUUUCAAACUAGGUUCUGGGUUCAUACAAGACCUGAAUCAGGAACAAGGGCUAUUAGCUCAGGUGGUUAGAGCGCACCCCUGAUAAGGGUGAGGUCCCUGGUUCGAGUCCAGGAUGGCCCACCUGCACAGGUGGAAGAAAGAAAAGAAGCUCCGAAUCAGCACCUUAUCUUACUUAUAUAGUAAGAGAGAAUGCUGGCUCUGAGUACGGAGUCCAGAGGAACCUUGAAAACUGCAUAGAGCUAGGUGAAAAAGCCAAAAAAGAAGACCGCAAG
rnacentral:tRNA from 1 species